UUUUGNAGGGGGAUAACUACUGGAAAUGGUGGCUAAUACCGCAUGGCCUAACAAGACCAAAGAGGGGGACCUUCGGGCCUCUUGAGCUCGCAUGUGCCCAGAUGGGAUUAGUGGGAAGGUGGGGUAACGGCUCACAUACGUGACGAUCCUGAGAUGGUCAGAGAGGAUGACCGGCCACACUGGAACUGAAAACCCGUCCACAAUCCUACGGGAGGCUGCCGUGGCGAAUAUUGUACAAUGGGCGCAAGCCUGAUGCAGCCGUGCCGCCAGUAUGAGGAAGGCCUUCGGGUUGUCAAUUACUUUCACCGCGGAGGAAGGGAGUAAAGUUAAUUCCUUUGCUGGUUGACGUUACUCGCANAACAAGCACCUGCUAGCUACGUGCCAGCAGCCGCGGUAAUACGGAGGGUGCAGGCGUUAAUCGGAAUUACUGAGUGCAAAGCCCACUCAGGCGGUUUGUUAAGUCAGAGUGAAAUCCCCGGGCCCACCUGACGAACUGCAUCUGAUACUGGAAAGCUUGAGUCUGAUAGACGGGGGGAGAAUUCCACGUGUAGCAGGGAAAUGCUUAUAGAUCUAGAGGAAUACCGGUGGCCAAGGCGGCCUCCCUUGACUUAAACUGACGCUCACGUGCGAAAGCGUGAGGAGCAGAAAGCAUUAAAUACCCAGAUAGUC
rnacentral:rRNA from 1 species